UGGGGAAUAUUGCACAAUGGGCGAAAGCCUGAUGCAGCAACGCCGCGUGAGCGAUGAAGGCCUUCGGGUCGUAAAGCUCUGUCCUCAAGGAAGAUAAUGACGGUACUUGAGGAGGAAGCCCCGGCUAACUACGUGCCAGCAGCCGCGGUAAUACGUAGGGGGCUAGCGUUAUCCGGAAUUACUGGGCGUAAAGGGUGCGUAGGUGGUUUCUUAAGUCAGAGGUUAAAGGCUACGGCUCAACCGUAGUAAGCUCUUGAAACUGGGAAACUUGAGUGCAGGAGAUGAAAGUGGAAUUCCUAGUGUAGAGGUGAAAUGCGUAGAUAUUAGGAGGAACACCAGUAGCGAAGGCGGCUUUCUGGACUGUAACUGACACUGAGGCACGAAAGUGUGGGGAGAAAACA
rnacentral:rRNA from 1 species